AUUGAACGCUGGCGGAAUGCUUUACACAUGCAAGUCGAACGGCAGCACGGGUGCUUGCACCUGGUGGCGAGUGGCGAACGGGUGAGUAAUAUAUCGGAACGUACCUUAUUGUGGGGGAUAACGCAGCGAAAGCUGUGCUAAUACCGCAUAAUCCCUUAGGGGGAAAGGCGGGGGACCGGUAAGGCCUCGCGCAAUUAGAGCGGCCGAUACCUGAUUAGCUAGUUGGUGAGGUAAAGGCUCACCAAGGCAACGAUCAGUAGCUGGUCUGAGAGGACGACCAGCCACACUGGGACUGAGACACGGCCCAGACUCCUACGGGAGGCAGCAGUGGGGAAUAUUGCACAAUGGGCGCAAGCCUGAUGCAGCAACGCCGCGUGAGGGGAUGAAGGCCUUCGGUUGGUAAACCUCCUUUUAAGUCAGGGAAGGAAGACGAAAGUAG
rnacentral:rRNA from 1 species